rnacentral:miRNA from 1 species
AGAAGUCGAAUUGCAUUUUG